rnacentral:rRNA from 1 species
AAACGACUCUCGGCAACGGAUAUCUCGGCUCACGCAUCGAUGAAGAACGUAGCAAAAUGCGAUACUUGGUGUGAAUUGCAGAAUCCCGUGAACCAUCGAGUUUUUGAACGCAAGUUGCGCCCGAAGCCUUUUGGUCGAGGGCA